rnacentral:ncRNA from 2 species
GAAACGCUCGGACGCGCUGAUGCCCCCACCUGAAUUGGGCACUUAGGGUGGGGGUGGAGCGAGUAGUGCAACCGACCGACUUUC